GCCGGGGGGGGGUGGGGGUGGGAGCUGGGCGGUGCAGGUCGGAGCGGGCAGCCCUGCCGAGCCCGGGGGUUGGCGUGGGGGGCGGGCGCGGGGCGGUGCAGUCCGGACGCGGGGAGGGGGCGGCCCUGCGGGAGCCGGGGCUGGGGGUGCAGGUGGGGGUGGGGGUGGGGGUGGGGCUGUGCCCGGGGCCGGGGGUGGGGGCGGGCGCGGUCCCGGGCUUCGGCCCGCGCGGAGCACGGCGGCGGGAGGGGCGGGUGCGGACGGCGCCCGGCGCGGGGCAGGUCCCGGUGGGUGCGGGCGGGCCGCGCUGCUGGGUGUCCGCCCCGGGACGCUCCCCACCGGCCUGCUCGCCGCUGCUGACCCCGCGCUGGGCCCGGGGACGUUCCAAGUGCCCAGACUUAGCAAACUUGCCAGCUCAGAGGAGGAGACCUACCCGACGGGGGGCCAAACCCCAACAAGUAAUUGCCUCUGGCUGGUUGACGUCAGUUAACGACUGGACUUUGUACCCAGAAGAGAGUUAAAGCUAAGGACGGUUGGAGAUAAAGUCAUUUCCUCCUUGGGUUGCCCAGCAAGGACGUCGAAAAUGAAAGGCCUUAUCCUCCUCGCUCUUCUCCUUUCCAUAAGCUCAGCCAUCCAGUCAGUCACUCCAAACUCAACUGCCGCCACAUCAACUCCUACCACAACUCCUACCACCACACCAACUCCUACCACCACACCAACUCCUACCACCACAUCAACUCCUACCACCAAACCAACUCCUACCACCACACCAACUCCUACCAUCACAUCAACUCCUACCACCAAACCAACUCCUACCACCACACCAACUCCUACCAUCACAUCAACUCCUACCACCAAACCAACUCCUACCACCACACCAACUCCUACCAUCACAUCAACUCCUACCACCAAACCAACUCCUACCACCACACCAACUCCUACCAUCACAUCAACUCCUACCACCAAACCAACUCCUACCACCACACCAACUCCUACCAUCACAUCAACUCCUACCACCAAACCAACUCCUACCACCACAUUAACUCCGACCACCACAUCAACUCCUACCACCAAACCAACUUCACCUAUUUCUACCUCAUUGGUAAGUAUGACUUCUGUAUCAAGUACAGUUUCAACCACCACUGUCACCACCAUCUCAGCUGGAAGUGGCAACUCAGACACAGCUACUACUUCAACAAUAUCAGUGACCAAUAACGGAUCAUCCGUCAACACAACCACACAGAAUAAUUCUUCAGCAGCUACUAGCAGUGUCAUUUCGUCCAAGACCAGCACCCCAACCAUUCCUUCCCCCCCAGGCCCCAGCAGUCCUUGCCAAGGAGCUCCCUGUAAAGGUGAUUCUUCCUGUGUUAGCCUGAACAGUACCUACUUUUGCCUGUGCUUCUUUGGAUAUUACUAUAACUCCUCCACAUGCAAAAAAGGAAAGGUAUUCCCUGGGACAAUUAAAGUAGAAGUAUCAGAAGUAUCUGGUUUGGGAGAUGAAAAUUCUCUGGCCUAUCAACAACUCCAUAAUAAAGUUAUUGAAUUUUUUGGGGGCACAUUUCGCAAUUUUGAUUAUGGACAGACCGUAAUUGAUGGAGUAAGCAUCCGUCCUUCAGCGAGACUAGAGAUGCGUGCUGGCGGUACUGGUGUUGAGGUAACGGUCCUAAACAUCUUCCGAUUGAAAACAACAAAACAACAUUCUAGGAUAUUCUAUUACUUUAUCCAUUUUGUUUUGCUGACUAUAUUUUUUAAUUGUUUGUGCCUCUCAGAUCAAUCUUUGUGUGAUUAUUUCAAUUGUGAAAAGGAAAAUGCCCAGGACAAGUGUGACAAUGGUUUGCUGUGUAAAUGCAAGCCAGGGUUUGAAAGACCUAACCCACAGAUCCCUAUGUGUCUUGCUUCUGCUCCAAUGUGUCCUGACACCUGCAAUGCAAACAACAAUAGGCAAUGCUUAGUGAACAAGGACAACACGGGCGUUGAAUGCGUGUGCCUGUCAGGCUACAAGGAAGAUGAUCAUGGGAUCUGUCAAAAGUGUGGAUUUGGCUACGGUGGAGUCAACUGUGAAGACCAAUAUCAACGUUUGCUUCGAGGAACUUUCUGCCAUCGUCUGAUCCUAAAUCUCCUUACCAUUUAUAGGUCAAAGAACAAAGACAAGUAUAUUGAAGAACAGAACUUGAUUGAGAACGACUUUCAGAAUCUGAGACUACAGCAGACGACAGGCUUCAGCAAUCUAGGAGCAGAUGGGAGCAUCUUCCCUAAAGUCAGGGCCAAUAUCUCCGGUCAGCCACAGAAUCCCUACGCAAACCACAGAAGCAUGCCCCGUCCUGACUACUAG
rnacentral:lncRNA from 1 species